GAUGAACGCUGGCGGCGUGCCUAAUACAUGCAAGUCGAGCGAACAGACGAGGAGCUUGCUCCUCUGACGUUAGCGGCGGACGGGUGAGUAACACGUGGAUAACCUACCUAUAAGACUGGGAUAACUUCGGGAAACCGGAGCUAAUACCGGAUAAUAUAUUGAACCGCAUGGUUCAAUAGUGAAAGACAGUUUUGCUGUCACUUAUAGAUGGAUCCGCGCCGCAUUAGCUAGUUGGUAAGGUAACGGCUUACCAAGGCAACGAUGCGUAGCCGACCUGAGAGGGUGAUCGGCCACACUGGAACUGAGACACGGUCUAGACUCCUACGGGAGGCAGCAGUAGGGAAUCUUCCGCAAUGGGCGAAAGCUUGACGGAGCAACGCCGCGUGAGUGAUGAAGGUCUUCGGAUCGUAAAACUCUGUUAUUAGGGAAGAACAAAUGUGUAAGUAACUAUGCACGUCUUGACGGUACCUAAUCAGAAAGCCACGGCUAACUACGUG
rnacentral:rRNA from 1 species